rnacentral:ncRNA from 1 species
CCCGAGGAAUCGGGACGAAAUGUGGGUCGGCGUCGAACGCCGCCCGAAUCGAAAG